UUAGAAAAUUCAUCAUGUCAUUGUUGUAUUCGCAUUCUGCCAAGAGUCAGCCCUUUACAUUUGUUUGCUUCUCUGCUGCUACCCUUUUGCUCACAUAAUACAUUUUAAUACAGCCAAAUUCCCAAUAAAAUUGUUUAAUCUAUAUAUUUUUUCUGUUUUUGUUGUUAGACAAUAUGAAAUGAUGACUGAAAUGCGGCCCAUUAAGAUUACAUACAGGGCUUGACAUGAAGCCUUGUCAUGUGGACAUGCGUAAAUCGGUCAUUAACUUGUACAAGUAAAACAGUUGCUUGUCCGGAAAAAAAUAGUUUUUUUUUUUGUUUUUUGUUUUUGUGGUGGAAAUAUAAAUUUGUUCUGAAGCAAUAUCCUUUCAGAAUAUUGCUGCUUUGACGUAUGUAAAUCUGCAUAUUUUUGAUUGAUUACAACUGCAUUAAAUAAUGUUAUGGGAUUGUUUUAAAUAUUUUUUGAAAAUAGAAAUAUGAAAUGUUGGGGGGGAAAUGAUACUUUUAAAAAUGAAACUAAACCACCAGUAGGUGGCAGCAAGUAACCGUCCUAAUGAGUGGGUCACUGAUUCAUUCAUUCAAAUGAUUCAUUCAAAUGGCUGAGUCAUUCAAGAAUGAGGCAGUUGUUUAUGAAUGGGUCACUUAAUCUUUGACUCAACCGAUUUUUAUUUUAAAACGCUGAAUCAUUCAGUAAUGAAAGCAAGGCUGAGUGUUGCGCUUUGCUACUGCUGCAAUCUUUGUUUGAAACUAUUUUCGCUGCUAAAAUAGAACAAAAACAGUCAAUGUUCCUUCUAAAAUAGCGCACAUCCUCAACUGAAUGCUCUGCUGAACCAGAGAGGUACGCUUGCGGCAGGAAAGCAAGACCUCGUGCUCGUGUGGCAGUACCGGUGGGUCUCGGAAGCUAGAUCAGGUUAACAAGUCGCUAUAUUCGUCACAACGCGCUUUCUUAGAAAAAAGUCGCAAAAGGGGUCUGAAAAGUUGUUAAAUUGGCAACACUGAUGCAGCCUUCCGCAGGUCCCAGCCCGCCGCUGUCCAAAACGGCGUUACGACAAUUUUGCACUGGCCGGAGGCAAUUACCAAACUGGUUCCGUGUGUGUAUCACACCAAUGUAAAUAUUUUGCGACAGCAAAUCAAAGUUAUUAAUUAUUUAGGCUUUAUUCAAAACAAACUGGUAGCCUAGUAUUAUUUUUCUUUAAAACUAUCUAAAAAAAUUUAAUGCCUGUAGAAAUAAAAUGUAAUGCUUUUUAAUGCCAUUUAAGGCCUUAAUUUUCGCAAAAUCCAUUUAAUGACUUUUAAUGCUUUUUAAAGCCCCGCGGAUACCCUGUUAUUACCAUAUCUGAAUUUUCAGCUCUGCAGGCUUUCUCAGCGCUUGAUACACAUUGAUACAAUCAAGUCCUCAUCUUUUUGAAUUGCAUGCAAAGUGGAUUUGCUUUCACAGCGCUUAAAACAGCCUCUUCUCGACAUGCCGACAACACAAACCAAACUCUUCCAGUCUCAACUACAACUACAGUUUUUGAGGGUGGGGCAAAGUAGACAUUGUUCGUGGGCAGCCAAUGAAGACCUAAGGGCUGGCGUUAUGCGAAUUUGUUACAUUGUUACGUAGGUUUGUAACAGGAAGUGAGACAGGAAUUAUUAACGACUGGUUUCAGCAUUUCAGAAUCAAUUCUUUCUUUAUUUGUUGUGCACUUUGAUCUUUAAAACUUUGCAGACCUUUUACAUUCACAGGCUAUAUUAUACAGUACAUGAAAGGUAAUAUUUACAAAAGAAUAGAGGCACUUUAAUUAAAGGAUUAGUUCACCCCAAAAUGAAAAUUCGCUAACACUUUACAAUAAGGUUCAUUAGUUAAACAUUAGUUAAUGUAUUAACUAUCAUGAACUAACCAUGAGCAAUACAUUU